rnacentral:rRNA from 1 species
ACAAGUCGGGCAUGUUGCCUGGUUGAUGUGGUGAUAUCACCGAUUUAUCCGUGUCUUAGAGGGACAAUCGAUGUCUAAAGAAAAGUUUGAACGUACAAAACCGCACGUUAACGUCGGUACUAUCGGCCACGUUGACCAUGGUAAAACAACGCUGACCGCUGCCAUCACUACCGUACUGGCUAAAACCUACGGUGGUUCCGCUCGCGCAUUCGACCAGAUCGAUAACGCGCCGGAAGAAAAAGCUCGUGGUAUCACCAUCAACACCUCUCACGUUGAAUAUGACACCCCGACUCGCCACUACGCGCACGUAGACUGCCCGGGCCACGCCGACUAUGUUAAAAACAUGAUCACCGGUGCUGCGCAGAUGGACGGCGCGAUCCUGGUUGUUGCUGCGACUGACGGCCCGAUGCCGCAGACUCGUGAGCACAUCCUGCUGGGUCGUCAGGUAGGCGUUCCGUACAUCAUCGUGUUCCUGAACAAAUGCGACAUGGUUGAUGACGAAGAGCUGCUGGAACUGGUUGAGAUGGAAGUUCGUGAACUGCUGUCUCAGUACGAUUUCCCGGGCGACGACACUCCGAUCGUUCGUGGUUCUGCUCUGAAAGCGCUGGAAGGCGACGCAGAGUGGGAAGCGAAAAUCAUCGAACUGGCUGGCCACCUGGAUACCUAUAUCCCGGAACCAGAGCGUGCGAUUGACAAGCCGUUCCUGCUGCCGAUCGAAGACGUAUUCUCCAUCUCCGGUCGUGGUACCGUUGUUACCGGUCGUGUAGAGCGCGGUAUCAUCAAAGUAGGUGAAGAAGUUGAAAUCGUUGGUAUCAAAGAAACCGCGAAAACCACCUGUACUGGCGUUGAAAUGUUCCGCAAACUGCUGGACGAAGGCCGUGCUGGUGAGAACGUAGGUGUUCUGCUGCGUGGUAUCAAACGUGAAGAAAUCGAACGUGGUCAGGUACUGGCUAAGCCGGGCACCAUCAACCCGCACACCAAGUUCGAAUCUGAAGUGUACAUCCUGUCCAAAGACGAAGGCGGCCGUCAUACUCCGUUCUUCAAAGGCUACCGUCCGCAGUUCUACUUCCGUACUACUGACGUGACUGGCACCAUCGAACUGCCGGAAGGCGUAGAGAUGGUAAUGCCGGGCGACAACAUCAAAAUGGUUGUUACCCUGAUCCACCCGAUCGCGAUGGACGACGGUCUGCGUUUCGCAAUCCGUGAAGGCGGUCGUACCGUUGGCGCGGGCGUGGUUGCUAAAGUUCUCGGCUAAUCGCUGAUAACAUUUGACGCAAUGCGCAAUAAAAGGGCAUCANAUCAGAAGUGCGAAUGCUGACAUAAGUAACGAUAAAGCGGGUGAAAAGCCCGCUCGCCGGAAGACCAAGGGUUCCUGUCCAACGUUAAUCGGGGCAGGGUGAGUCGACCCCUAAGGCGAGGCCGAAAGGCGUAGUCGAUGGGAAACAGGUUAAUAUUCCUGUACUUGGUGUUACUGCGAAGGGGGGACGGAGAAGGCUAUGUUAGCCGGGCGACGGUUGUCCCGGUUUAAGCAUGUAGGCUGGUUAUCCAGGCAAAUCCGGAUAAUCAAGGCUGAGGUGUGAUGACGAGGCACUACGGUGCUGAAGUAACAAAUGCCCUGCUUCCAGGAAAAGCCUCUAAGCAUCAGGUAACAUCAAAUCGUACCCCAAACCGACACAGGUGGUCAGGUAGAGAAUACCAAGGCGCUUGAGAGAACUCGGGUGAAGGAACUAGGCAAAAUGGUGCCGUAACUUCGGGAGAAGGCACGCUGGUGUGUAGGUGAAGUCCCUGCGGAUGGAGCUGAGACCAGUCGAAGAUACCAGCUGGCUGCAACUGUUUAUUAAAAACACAGCACUGUGCAAACACGAAAGUGGACGUAUACGGUGUGACGCCUGCCCGGUGCCGGAAGGUUAAUUGAUGGGGUUAUCCGUAAGGAGAAGCUCUUGAUCGAAGCCCCGGUAAACGGCGGCCGUAACUAUAACGGUCCUAAGGUAGCGAAAUUCCUUGUCGGGUAAGUUCCGACCUGCACGAAUGGCGUAAUGAUGGCCAGGCUGUCUCCACCCGAGACUCAGUGAAAUUGAACUCGCUGUGAAGAUGCAGUGUACCCGCGGCAAGACGGAAAGACCCCGUGAACCUUUACUAUAGCUUGACACUGAACAUUGAGCCUUGAUGUGUAGGAUAGGUGGGAGGCUUUGAAGCGUGGACGCCAGUCUGCGUGGAGCCAACCUUGAAAUACCACCCUUUAAUGUUUGAUGUUCUAACGUUGGCCCCUUACCGGGGUUGCGGACAGUGUCUGGUGGGUAGUUUGACUGGGGCGGUCUCCUCCCAAAGCGUAACGGAGGAGCACGAAGGUUAGCUAAUCCUGGUCGGACAUCAGGAGGUUAGUGCAAUGGCAUAAGCUAGCUUGACUGCGAGCGUGACGGCGCGAGCAGGUGCGAAAGCAGGUCAUAGUGAUCCGGUGGUUCUGAAUGGAAGGGCCAUCGCUCAACGGAUAAAAGGUACUCCGGGGAUAACAGGCUGAUACCGCCCAAGAGUUCAUAUCGACGGCGGUGUUUGGCACCUCGAUGUCGGCUCAUCACAUCCUGGGGCUGAAGUAGGUCCCAAGGGUAUGGCUGUUCGCCAUUUAAAGUGGUACGCGAGCUGGGUUUAGAACGUCGUGAGACAGUUCGGUCCCUAUCUGCCGUGGGCGCUGGAGAAUUGAGGGGGGCUGCUCCUAGUACGAGAGGACCGGAGUGGACGCAUCACUGGUGUUCGGGUUGUCAUGCCAAUGGCACUGCCCGGUAGCUAAAUGCGGAAGAGAUAAGUGCUGAAAGCAUCUAAGCACGAAACUUGCCCCGAGAUGAGUUCUCCCUGAGACUUUAAGUCUCCUGAAGGAACGUUAAAGACGAUGACGUUGAUAGGCCGGGUGUGUAAGCGCAGCGAUGCGUUGAGCUAACCGGUACUAAUGAACCGUGAGGCUUAACCUU